GCGGGGCCCCGGCCCACAGGCUGGACAUCGCUGCCUCGCAGUGACGGGCGGGCAGCCGGCUGCUGGGCCUGCGCUGGCCACCAGUGUGUGCGCCGUACCCAGCGGGGCUGCCUGGGGCCUGGCAUCGCCACACCCAGCGGUUCCUCCCUCCCUCCCUGCCAUGGGACCCCCAGCUGGUCUAGUGCCUAGAUGUAAAUUUCUGGCUCAGAUCCUUCUUCCUGCCAGAGAACGGCCACUAGCCAGACGUGCAUCCCACGAAGUGGGGAUUCACCCCCGAAAGCUCAGGCUCCAAAACGUCUGUUAGUCUGUAAGGUGCCAGGGGACUCUGCUGCUUAACCAGACAGUUCAUUUGCUGUUGUUGGCACCUGGGCAAGGGUGAAGGGAGAAGAUGUCGUGCCCUAGGCUCUGGAUGUACAUGGAGAGGGGAAGGUGCAGACAUACUUGGCUUCUUGCAGGCAGUUAAAAUGGUACUGAGCCCGCUGAAGUCUCAGGAUCCCAACCCCCUAACCUGGGUUAAACUGUUUAAUUUUGGACAGUGCCCAGGCCACGUUAAUAUGACUCUUUGCGUCCACACGUUUCAUCUACAUUAUACAACAGAUUUCUAUACAAAUGAUAACCUGAGCGAUGGGCUGUCUGACAGUGACCCCCCAGUCCGGAAAGGAGGGAAGCAGCAAGGCAUAAAGUGUUUUCUGGCUACUACGUUCCCUACAGUAACAGAGAGUUCUAUCAAUCUGCCUGCUGCUUGGGGAUCAUGUAAUGAAA